GCAGUUGUAGCAGAAGUUUGCUCUGCCGUUUUGCUUUGUGAAGCAGAACAUCUCGCUAACAGCUCUCUGCCUCAUUUAAUCUGGUGUCCGCUCUUGUUGCGGGAUCAGGUCAGCCACAUACUUUGGUUAAUGGUUCUAUUAAUUCUGGGCUUGCCGGGAGAAGAAGGAAAGAGACGGAAAGGCGAGAUUCAAACACUAUUUAGUGGACUUUUCCGCUAGAGUUCAUUCUGCAGGAUGUAUUGAAUGUGGACCAGAACAUCCAGGACCAUCUAAGAAACAAUACAGAGAGGGUGCCAACAAAUAUUACAAGAGACUUUUCCAAAGUGCUGGGAAGAUGCCAAAGCCACAAAUUCUCCACAUUCCUUUGCGCUUUUGCGGUUAAAGCAUCGAAGUGAGAAAGCGUCUUUCAGAGUACAUUCACAGUCACAUGACUGUCUGUGGUCACACAGCCCAGGUCCCUACACUACAGUCCCAGUUCAGUCAAACACACUCUUGCUACACGAAACAACCAUCCACAGUCACAUACUGAGCACACAUGUGAUGUCAGCUUGUUUGCCUUGACACAGCGGGGGAAACGAAGCAAACAGGACGACACCAACCUCGUCAGGUUACAGAAAGAGAAGGAUGCUUGAAGAGAUUUGUUUUAAAUUACUGCACCGUUAGAAGUGACUUUGUAUUUCUACAUGUUACUAAAACAUGUGAGUGGAUGCAGCAUGUGGAAAAUAAGUAUUCAGACUAUGAAUGUUUUAGUAAUUUCUGAUGUACCUAUUGAAAUUGGAUGGACGAAAUGUUGGCAAGUACACAAAAAAAGAAGUCAACAUAAUUUAGUCAAUACAUUAUGUUCAUUUAGUAAUCUAAAAACAAUUUUCUUCUUUUUAGUAUGAAUUAAUAUAGGUAAUUUUAAUCCAUAUGGAUGGUUUAUAAACAGAUUUCUUAUUACAAAGGUAUCACACAAGACACAUCUCAUAAGUAAAUUAUGAGAUGUGUUUCAAGACCUUUGAAAUCUUACUUUUGAAAACCAUACUGUUGGCAUUGGUUACAAGGACUUAUUAUUUUUUUGUAUUUACUUUCCAACUACUGUCUAAUUUCAAAGCUGAUGUUUAUUAGCAAUAUUUUAGAAAAAGUGCUAAAAGGUGAAGUCAAAUGUUUUAUUACCAACCUUCAGAUUUCUGGUUCUUUUCAAUCAGACUUUCUACAGAAACAACCCUGUUAAAGAUGUUUGAUGAUGUUUUGAUGUCCACCGAUAUGCUGGAUUAUUCAGUACCUGUGCUGAAUGAUCCAGGUUAUUACAAUAAUCCUGAACUAUCAUAGAUAUUUCUCCACUUUGAUGACUAAGUUGAUUUGUUGCCUAGUUAAGUUAAAUUGGUGGCUGAUUAUAAGUUUUAGUGAAACAAUAAUACUGAUUAUAGCACAUGAACGUUUUGUACUUUUGUACAUCAAUUAAGACCAUGUGUCAGACACCUGGGAAUAACGUUUGACUCACAUCUGGACUCGCAUCUAAAAUCCCUUUCAUGGUCUUGCAUUUUACAAUUGAGGUCCACUGCCAAACUCAGAUCUGUUUUGAUCUCUACUGAAGAAAUAAAAUAAAAUCUUUUCAACUUG